AGUGAACGCUGGCGGUAGGCCUAACACAUGCAAGUCGAACGGCAGCACAGUAAGAGCUUGCUCUUACGGGUGGCGAGUGGCGGACGGGUGAGGAAUACAUCGGAAUCUACUUUUUCGUGGGGGAUAACGUAGGGAAACUUACGCUAAUAACGCAUACGAACUACGGGUGAAAGCAGGGGAUCUUCGGACCUUGCGCGAUUGAAUGAGCCGAUGUCGGAUUGGCUAGUUGGCGGGGUAAAGGCCCACCAAGGCGACGAUCCGUAGCUGGUCUGAGAGGAUGAUCAGCCACACUGGAACUGAGACACGGUCCAGACUCCUACGGGAGGCAGCAGUGGGGAAUAUUGGACAAUGGGCGCAAGCCUGAUCCAGCCAUACCGCGUGGGUGAAGAAGGCCUUCGGGUUGUAAAGCCCUUUUGUUGGGAAAGAAAAGCAGCAGGUUAAUACCCCGCUGUUCUGACGGUACCCAAAGAAUAAGCACCGGCUAACUUCGUG
rnacentral:rRNA from 1 species